rnacentral:rRNA from 1 species
GAUGAACGCUGGCGGCGUGCUUAACACAUGCAAGUCGAACGAGAAAUGUAGACGGAAACCUUCGGGCGGAAGCCUUCAUUUCGAGUGGCGGACGGGUGAGUAACGCGUGGGUAACCUGCCUCAUACAGGGGGAUAACAGUUGGAAACGACUGUUAAUACCGCAUAAGACCACAGCAUCGCAUGGUGCGGGGGUAAAAACUCCGGUGGUAUGAGAUGGACCCGCGUUCGAUUAGCCAGUUGGCGGGGUAACGGCCCACCAAAGCGACGAUCGAUAGCCGAUCUGAGAGGAUGACCGGCCACAUUGGGACUGAGACACGGCCCAAACUCCUACGGGAGGCAGCAGUGGGGAAUAUUGCACAAUGGGGGAAACCCUGAUGCAGCGACGCCGCGUGAGUGAAGAAGUACUUCGGUAUGUAAAGCUCUAUCAGCAGGGAAGAAAAUGACGGUACCUGAGUAAGAAGCCCCGGCUAACUACGUG